GCCCUUAUAGCUCAGUGGUAGAGCGCGUCACUAGUAGUCCUUAAACUACAAAUAAUAAUGACGAGGUCGAUCGUUCAAGUCGGUCUGGGGGCA